AAUCUAAAGUUCACGCAGAAUCCACAGAUCCUGAGCCUUCAACUGUGUGACGUCUGAUAUUAAAGAAGUGAAAAUGCGGGUGAUGCUGCUGCUGGCCUGUCUGCUGGCUCUAAGUUUGGCUGUGCCGCUGCACAAACACCGUGUGACACGAUCAGAGAGUUCAGAGGAUGAUGGGGGCGACUCUGAAGAUGGCAGCGAUGAAGGAGGAGAAAGAGAGGGAGACAGAAAAGAUGGGGGUGAUGGAGCAGAAGAAGGAGGAGAAGGAGGAGGAGGAGAAGAAGAAGAAGAAG